rnacentral:rRNA from 1 species
AUUGAACGCUGGCGGAAUGCUUUACACAUGCAAGUCGAACGGCAGCACGGACUUCGGUCUGGUGGCGAGUGGCGAACGGGUGAGUAAUACAUCGGAACGUGCCCAAUCGUGGGGGAUAACGUAGCGAAAGCUACGCUAAUACCGCAUACGAUCUAAGGAUGAAAGCGGGGGAUCGCAAGACCUCGCGCGAUUGGAGCGGCCGAUGGCAGAUUAGGUAGUUGGUAGGGUAAAGGCCUGCCAAGCCGACGAUCUGUAGCUGGUCUGAGAGGAUGAUCAGCCACACUGGGACUGAGAAACGGUCCAGACUCCUACGGGAGGCAGCAGUGGGGAAUUUUGGACAAUGGGCGAAAGCCUGAUCCAGCCAUUCCGCGUGCAGGACGAAGGCCUUCGGGUUGUAAACUGCUUUUGUACGGAACGAAAAGGCUCUGGUUAAUACCUGGGGCUCAUGACGGUACCGUAAGAAUAAGCACCGGCUAACUACGUGCCAGCAGCCGCAGUAA